rnacentral:rRNA from 1 species
UAGCGUAGGGGGCAAGCGUUGUUCGGAAUUACUGGGCGUAAAGCGCGCGUAGGCGGUUUGGAAAGUCAGAUGUGAAAGCCCCGGGCUCAACUUGGGAACUGCAUUUGAUACUCGCCAGACUAGAGUACAGAAGAGGUGACUGGAAUUCCCAGUGUAGCGGUGAAAUGCGUAGAUAUUGGGAGGAACACCAGAUGCGAAGGCGGGUCACUGGGCUGAUACUGACGCUGAUGCGCGAAAGCCGGGGAGCGAACGGG